rnacentral:rRNA from 1 species
AACGAACGCUGGCGGCAGGCUUAACACAUGCAAGUCGAACGUGAAGCCACCUUCGGGUGGUGGGAAGUGGCAGACGGGUGAGUAACGCGUGGGAAUCUACCUAAUGGUACGGAAUAACUCAGGGAAACUUGAGCUAAUACCGUAUGUGCCCGCAAGGGGAAAGAUUUAUCGCCAUUAGAUGAGCCCGCGUCGGAUUAGCUAGUUGGUGGGGUAAUGACCCACCAAGGCGACGAUCCGUAGCUGGUCUGAGAGGAUGAUCAGCCACACUGGGACUGGGACACGGCCCAGACUCCCACGGGAGGCAGCAGUGGGGAAUAUUGGACAAUGGGCGAAAGCCUGAUCCAGCCAUGCCGCGUGAGUGAUGAAGGCCCUAGGGUUGUAAAGCUCUUUCGACGGGGACGAUAAUGACGGUACCCGUAGAAGAAGCCCCGGCUAACUUCGUGCCAGCAGCCGCAGUAA